UUAGUUAUAGGUUCAAUUCCUAU
rnacentral:tRNA from 1 species